rnacentral:lncRNA from 1 species
GGAACGUCGGCAACGCGAGGCCAGGAAUUGGGACUCCAGAGGCCCUCGUCUGAGAUACCAGACUUUCUAUAAAGCCCAGAAAGAUUAGAUCAGAGAAGUGCCACCAACUUGGACUCUACUGACUUCCAACCAGCCACAGUCUCAGGUCCCCGAUUCUGCUCCAUCAACUUUCCUUCACCCUGCAGUACUUCCUCCACCGGAGUGAAGGAUCUCAGCUAUUUUCCAUCCAUCUCUUGCUAAAGUGGAAAUAUCUGAGCCCCACCUUCCUCUCCAAUGAAAGGACAAGAUGAUAAAGCACAAAGAAUCAGCACCCUCUCCCCUUGCCUUGACUCAUCUCCUC